rnacentral:rRNA from 1 species
GCUUGUCUCAAAGAUUAAGCCAUGCAUGUCUUAGUGUAAAUAACUCUUAUGAAACUGCGAAUGGCUCAUUAAAUCAGUUAUCAAAUACGUGAUGGUCGCCUACUACAUGGAUAACCGUAGUAAUUCUAGAGCUAAUACAUGCACAAAGGCCCACUCACGUGGGUUGUGAUUAUUAGAUUCAAACCGGCCUCGUUCUGGUGAUUCAUGAUAACUUCUCGAAUCGCAUGGCCUUGCGCCGGCGAUGGUUCAUUCAAAUUUCUUCCCUAUCAACUUUCGAUGUUUGGGUAGUGGCCAAACAUGGUUGCAACGGGUAACGGAGGGUUAGGGCUCGACCCCGGAGAAGGAGCCUGAGAAACGGCUACUACAUCCAAGGAAGGCAGCAGG